rnacentral:rRNA from 1 species
GACGAACGCUGGCGGCGUGCUUAACACAUGCAAGUCGAACGGUAAGGCCCUUCGGGGUACACGAGUGGCGAACGGGUGAGUAACACGUGGGUGAUCUGCCCUGCACUUCGGGAUAAGCCUGGGAAACUGGGUCUAAUACCGGAUAGGACCCUGGGAUGCAUGUCCUGGGGUGGAAAGCUUUUGCGGUGUGGGAUGGGCCCGCGGCCUAUCAGCUUGUUGGUGGGGUGAUGGCCUACCAAGGCGACGACGGGGAGCCGGCCUGGGAGGGUGACCGGCCCAACUGGGCCUGAGACACGGCCCAGACUACUACGGGAGGCAGCGGUGGGGAAUAUUGCACAAUGGGCGCAAGCCUGAUGCAGCGGCGCCGCGUGAGGGAUGACGGCCUUCGGGUUGAAAACCUCUUUCAGUAGGGACGAAGCGCAAGUGACGGUACCUACAGAAGAAGGCCCGGCCAACUACGUGCCAGCAGCCGCCGUAA